rnacentral:rRNA from 1 species
ACACGCAUGACACACUGCAUAUCAAUAAGCGGAGGAAAAGAAACUAACAAGGAUUCCCCUAGUAACGGCGAGUGAAGCGGGAAGAGCUCAAAUUUGAAAUCUUCAAGGUUUGACCUUGACGAAUUGUAGUUUAAAGAAGUGUUUUCGGUUAGAGGAGUAGUAAAAGUUCUUUGGAAUAGGACAUCAUAGAGGGUGAGAAUCCCGUAUUUGACCAUUAUUUCCAGCUUUGUGAUACACUUUCAACGAGUCGGAUUGUUUGGGAAUGCAGUCCAAAAUGGGUGGUAAAUUUCAUCUAAAGCUAAAUAUUGGCGAGAGACCGAUAGCGAACAAGUACCGUGAGGGGAAGAUGAAAAGAACUUUGAAAAGAGAGUUAAACAGUACGUGAAAUUGUCAAAAGGGAAGCGUUUGACACCAGUGUUGUUUUUUCCGAAAAUCAAUUACGAAUGUUUUGUUUUUAAGGAGUUAUGACUUCAUCGGCUUGCUUCUUUCUUUACGAAACUUUCUUAAUGCACUUUUCGGUUAACAAGUCAACAUCAAUUUCUUUUGUUGUAAAAGGGUAUGAGGAAGGUGGCUUUCUUUUCGGAGAAAGUGUUUAUAGCCUUGUACCUCUGCAAUCGGAGAGAUUGAGGUCUGCAGCGUAGAUCCUUCGGGGUUAGAUACAUUUGUGCUAAGCUAUAGCCUUUCAUAGACAACUUGUUGACUAUGAUCAGUCAUGUAGCUUACUCGCUUAUGCUAUUUUACCUACGCUUAGGAUGUUGAGCGCAUGUCUCUCUCU